rnacentral:rRNA from 1 species
GACGUAGGGCGCGAGCGUUGUCCGGAUUUAUUGGGCGUAAAGAGCUCGUAGGCGGUGUGUCGCGUCGGCCGUGAAAACCUGCAGCUUAACUGUGGGCUUGCGGUCGAUACGGGCAUCACUGGAGUUCGGCAGGGGAGACUGGAAUUCCUGGUGUAGCGGUGAAAUGCGCAGAGUAUCAGGAGGAACACCGUGGCGAAGGCGGGAUCUCGUGGGCCGAUGACUGACGCUGAGGAGCGAAAGCGUGGGAGCGAACAGG